ACACUCCUACGGGAGGCAGCAGUGGGGAAUAUUGCACAAUGGGCGCAAGCCUGAUGCAGCCAUGCCGCGUGCAUGAAGAAGGCCUUCGGGUUGUAAAGUACUUUCAGCGGGGAGGAAGGCGAUAAGGUUAAUAACCUUGUUGAUUGACGUUACCCGCAGAAGAAGCACCGGCUAACUCCGUGCCAGCAGCCGCGGUAAUACGGAGGGUGCAAGCGUUAAUCGGAAUUACUGGGCGUAAAGCGCACGCAGGCGGUCUGUCAAGUCGGAUGUGAAAUCCCCGGGCUCAACCUGGGAACUGCAUUCGAAACUGGCAGGCUAGAGUCUUGUAGAGGGGGGUAGAAUUCCAGGUGUAGCGGUGAAAUGCGUAGAGAUCUGGAGGAAUACCGGUGGCGAAGGCGGCCCCCUGGACAAAGACUGACGCUCAGGUGCGAAAGCGUGGGGAGCAAACAGGAUUAGAAACCCUAGUAGUCCCAUG
rnacentral:rRNA from 1 species